UACGGAGGGAGCUAGCGUUGUUCGGAAUUACUGGGCGUAAAGCGCACGUAGGCGGCUUUUUAAGUCAGAGGUGAAAGCCCAGUGCUCAACACUGGAACUGCCUUUGAAACUGGAAAACUUGAAUCUUGGAGAGGUCAGUGGAAUUCCGAGUGUAGAGGUGAAAUUCGUAGAUAUUCGGAAGAACACCAGUGGCGAAGGCGACUGACUGGACAAGUAUUGACGCUGAGGUGCGAAAGCGUGGGGAGCAAACAGG
rnacentral:rRNA from 1 species